rnacentral:rRNA from 1 species
GACGAACGCUGGCGGCGUGCUUAACACAUGCAAGUCGAACGGAAAGGCCCUGCUUUUGUGGGGUGCUCGAGUGGCGAACGGGUGAGUAACACGUGAGUAACCUGCCCUUGACUUUGGGAUAACUUCAGGAAACUGGGGCUAAUACCGGAUAGGAGCUCCUGCUGCAUGGUGGGGGUUGGAAAGUUUCGGCGGUUGGGGAUGGACUCGCGGCUUAUCAGCUUGUUGGUGGGGUAGUGGCUUACCAAGGCUUUGACGGGUAGCCGGCCUGAGAGGGUGACCGGCCACAUUGGGACUGAGAUACGGCCCAGACUCCUACGGGAGGCAGCAGUGGGGAAUAUUGCACAAUGGGCGGAAGCCUGAUGCAGCAACGCCGCGUGCGGGAUGACGGCCUUCGGGUUGUAAACCGCUUUCGCCUGUGACGAAGCGUGAGUGACGGUAAUGGGUAAAGAAGCACCGGCUAACUACGUGCCAGCAGCCGCGGUGAUACGUAGGGUGCGAGCGUUGUCCGGAUUUAUUGGGCGUAAAGGGCUCGUAGGUGGUUGAUCGCGUCGGAAGUGUAAUCUUGGGGCUUAACCCUGAGCGUGCUUUCGAUACGGGUUGACUUGAGGAAGGUAGGGGAGAAUGGAAUUCCUGGUGGAGCGGUGGAAUGCGCAGAUAUCAGGAGGAACACCAGUGGCGAAGGCGGUUCUCUGAGCCUUUCCUGACGCUGAGGAGCGAAAGCGUGGGGAGCGAACAGGCUUAGAUACCCUGGUAGUCCGCGCUGUAAACGGUGGGUACUAGGUGUGGGGUCCAUUCCACGGGUUCCGUGCCGUAGCUAACGCUUUAAGUACCCCGCCUGGGGAGUACGGCCGCAAGGCUAAAACUCAAAGGAAUUGACGGGGCCCCGCACAAGCGGCGGAGCAUGCGGAUUAAUUCGAUGCAACGCGUAGAACCUUACCUGGGUUUGACAUGGAUCGGGAGUGCUCAGAGAUGGGUGUGCCUCUUUUGGGGUCGGUUCACAGGUGGUGCAUGGCUGUCGUCAGCUCGUGUCGUGAGAUGUUGGGUUAAGUCCCGCAACGAGCGCAACCCUUGUUCACUGUUGCCAGCACGUUAUGGUGGGGACUCAGUGGAGACCGCCGGGGUCAACUCGGAGGAAGGUGGGGAUGACGUCAAGUCAUCAUGCCCCUUAUGUCCAGGGCUUCACGCAUGCUACAAUGGCUGGUACAGAGAGUGGCGAGCCUGUGAGGGCGAGCGAAUCUCGGAAAGCCGGUCUCAGUUCGGAUUGGGGUCUGCAACUCGACCUCAUGAAGUCGGAGUCGCUAGUAAUCGCAGAUCAGCAACGCUGCGGUGAAUACGUUCCCGGGGCU